UCUAAGUGCAGAACCUCUUCUCUCUCUUCUUCUUUCAUCUCUUUGGUUCUCCUUUUCUCUCUCUAGGCUAGGGAAAGCUUGAGGAAAUUGGGGUAGCAGCCUUGAGGCUUGCGGGUUCAAGUGGAGGAGGUGAACCGAGCAGAGAAUUCUUGUGGUUGGAGUUACUGUGCAACGUGGUUCAGCAUCAAAUUAAGACUUGAGACUUGGGGCCUUGGGUUAGUUAAUGCUGAAGGAAAUUUGGAGGAGUCCCAAAUUAAGAAGGGGCAGAUUUGAAGAUAUGGCUAGAUGAAGUUGUCGAAGUGGAGUCCCAGUUGAGAAAGCCUGGGAGUUGUGAGCUGUUAAAGCUGAGAGUAAUCGAAUUGAUCAUCAAGUCAAAGUAGCUGAACCUAAUGGAGUGGCAGAAUUAGGGCUCGGAUUGAUUGGAGCUGCUGAAGUGAAAAGUUCAACUCUGGGAGGUUGAAACUUGAGGUAAGGAACUGCAGCUGAGGAAGACCUUGAAGUAGAAUUUUUGGUUGUUGAAGCUGAGAACACCCUGGUAGAAUACCUAAUUAAGUUUGCUGCCAGGAAUUGAUAUUGGGCCAUUUGAAGCAGUGAGCAAGUUUGGUACAACCUUGAAGUGAAAGCCACUGCCUUGACAAACUGGGCACCUGAAUUGAAGAAGCUUAGUGGAGCUUCUUUGACAAUUCGAGCUACAACAAAUCUGGUGGAGCCUGGAAAUUAGCAAGCUAUGAAAGGGAAGAUGAAGUGCUGAAAUUUCAGCAAGAAUUCAGCAUGAUGCAGAAUUCAUUGUGAGCUGAAAUCAAGCCAAUUGGAUAAGGAAGUAAGGCUGCAGCUGAGGUGAAGUUGCUAUCCUGGUGAAAUCUGGGUACCCACAUUAAGAAGGAAAUCUAGUGAAGCCUCUAAUUCAGUGAGCUGUGAAAAAGAGCUCGAAUUUAAGGUCGGCGACGCACUAAUUACGGUAGAAGCCGUUUAGGCUUUAUUUGCGUUAGGUCACGUGAGAUCAUCAUUGACACAGUUCGAGACGUGGAUUCGAGUUAGUUGACAUCCCUACAGGUGGGUGGUGCUAUCCGAAAUCUUUGAAUCCCCCUUUAUGUCUAUGAUAUUUCAUUGAGCAUAUUUAUAUAUGAAUUACUUGUAUUCAUGCAUUAUAGGGUACUGGCAUUAUGCAAGUGAUAAUUGAAUAUUUGAAUUUCUAUCAAUAUUGAGAACCUAUGAACAUUAGUAUGUGGACAUAGAACCCUAUGAAUGCAUGGACUAUAACAAUAGUGAACUUGGUGAUAUCAUGACUAGAGAUUUGGUUAGCAUCAAACAUAAAACCAUGAAACUAGCAUAAAGGGCUAGUUAGAGUAAAGUGUUGCAUUGUCUUUCAUUGGAUCUUCUAAAGGAAGAUCAGAUCAUACUCACAUCAGUUUUAUGUUCAAGGAAGGUCGCUCCUCCUUGAACGAUGAGCUCUGGAGUAGUCAUCUUAACUGGACCAGGAGCUAGCGUCUCCCCUAGUUGACAGUUUAGUCGGGAUGUAGCUUGCGUCUCCCCGAUAUUUGGGAUAUCGUCGGUGAGUUAUUGUUAACCAAAAGGGUUAACCAGUUUGAUUGGGUAACAUCAUUAAAAGCAUGCAUGCAUAUUUAUCAGUUAUUAUAUAUUGUUCCUUUCAGCUUUGUACAGGCAUUGUAGUAGUUACAUGUUAUAGUUGGUUACUAUCUA